AGCGGGGUGGAGCAGUAGUAGCUCGUUGGGGCUCAUAACCCAAAGGUCGCAGGUGCAAGUCCCGCCCCCGCAA
rnacentral:tRNA from 1 species